rnacentral:rRNA from 1 species
CCUACGGGUGGCAGCAGUGAGGAAUAUUGGUCAAUGGGCGCGAGCCUGAACCAGCCAAGUAGCGGGAAGGAUGAAUGCCCUACGGGUUGUAAACUUCUUUUAGAAAGGAAUAAAGUGAGGCACGGGUGCCUUUUUGUAUGUACUUUAUGAAUAAGGAUCGGCUAACUCCGUGCCAGCAGCCGCGGUAAUACGGAGGAUCUGAGCGUUAUCCGGAUUGAUUGGGGUUAAAGGGAGCGUAGAUGGGUUUUUAAGUCAGUUGUGAAAGUUUGCGGCUCAACCGUAAAAUUGCAAUUGAUACUGGCAGUCUUGAGUAAAGUUGAGGUAGGCGGAAUUCGUGGUGUAGCGGUGAAAUGCUUAGAUAUCACGAAGAACUCCGAUUGCGAAGGCAGCUUACUAAACUGCCACUGACAUUGAUGCUCGAAAGUGUGGGUAUCAAACCGGAUUAGAUACCCGAGUAGUC